rnacentral:rRNA from 1 species
AGAGUUUGAUCCUGGCUCAGGACGAACGCUGGCGGCGUGCCUAACACAUGCAAGUCGAGCGGAGACAGUGAGUAGCUUGCUAUGAGCUGUUUUAGCGGCGGACGGGUGAGUAACGCGUGAGCAACCUUUCCCAGACAGGGGAAUAACACACCGAACGACUGCUAAUACCGCAUGAGCCCACGGGUCGGCAUCGACCAGAGGGAAAAGGAGCAAUCCGCUUUGAGAUGGCCUCGCGUCCGAUUAGCUAGUUGGUGGGGUAACGGCCCACCAAGGCAACGACCGGUAGCCGGACUGAGAGGUUGAACGGCCACAUUGGGACUGAGACACGGCCCAGACUCCUACGGGAGGCAGCAGUGGGGAAUAUUGCACAAUGGGGGAAACCCUGAUGCAGCGACGCCGCGUGGAGGAAGAAGGUCUUCGGGUUGUAAACUCCUGUUGUUGAGGAAGAUAAUGACGGUACUCAACAAGGAAGUGACGGCUAACUACGUGCCAGCAGCCGCGGUAAAACGUAGGUCACAAGCGUUGUCCGGAAUUACUGGGUGUAAAGGGAGCGCAGGCGGGAAGACAAGUUGGAAGUGAAAUCCAUGGGCUCAACCCAUGAACUGCUUUCAAAACUGUUUUUCUUGAGUAGUGCAGAGGUAGGCGGAAUUCCCGGUGUAGCGGUGGAAUGCGUAGAUAUCGGGAGGAACACCAGUGGCGAAGGCGGCCUACUGGGCACCAACUGACGCUGAGGCUCGAAAGUGUGGGUAGCAAACAGGAUUAGAUACCCUGGUAGUCCACACCGUAAACGAUGAUUACUAGGUGUUGGAGGAUUGACCCCUUCAGUGCCGCAGUUAACACAAUAAGUAAUCCACCUGGGGAGUACGACCGCAAGGUUGAAACUCAAAGGAAUUGACGGGGGCCCGCACAAGCAGUGGAGUAUGUGGUUUAAUUCGACGCAACGCGAAGAACCUUACCAAGUCUUGACAUCCUGCGACGAUGCUGGAAACAGUAUUUUCCUUCGGGACGCAGAGACAGGUGGUGCAUGGUUGUCGUCAGCUCGUGUCGUGAGAUGUUGGGUUAAGUCCCGCAACGAGCGCAACCCUUAUGGUCAGUUACUACGCAAGAGGACUCUGGCCAGACUGCCGUUGACAAAACGGAGGAAGGUGGGGAUGACGUCAAAUCAUCAUGCCCUUUAUGACUUGGGCUACACACGUACUACAAUGGCGUUAAACAAAGAGAAGCAAGACCGCGAGGUGGAGCAAAACUCAGAAACAACGUCCCAGUUCGGACUGCAGGCUGCAACUCGCCUGCACGAAGUCGGAAUUGCUAGUAAUCGUGGAUCAGCAUGCCACGGUGAAUACGUUCCCGGGCCUUGUACACACCGCCCGUCACACCAUGAGAGCC